CAUCACUUAGAAACACUAUUAUGUAAAGCAUAUGACACAUGUUUUACUGUAUGUAAAAGUAAAAAGUUCUUAUUGCGUAAAUGGGAGGAAAAUGCAGUGAAUAUGUGAUAGUUCUACUGUAUGAUAUUAUCAGUUGCAUUAGAAGACGCAUUUCUAAACCUAUUUGUAAAUGUGAAUAGGGAUGCUGACACUUCUGAUGAAGAGUGGUUACCAGAGGCCUCUGGACCACAGACAAAGCUUUCCUGGCUGUCUAAAACAUCUUCACCUGCCUUCACCGCUGCCAAGGUUUUAAGGAGAAUGCAACAUGUUCCAGGGCCUCUUACCUGCGUGAUUCAUCAUCCAGGUUUUGCACAAAUUGUCUAAAUCCCUACACACAGAACAUUUAUUGUACCGACUAUAAGCCUUUGAGGUGCAGGACUAGAGUAAGUUUUAUUACAUUUUUAAACCAAUAACACUAAAGUAUCAUUAUAGUAACAAAGUACCCAAAAGAACAAAAGAUGUAACUUUAAAGAAAAUAUAAUAGUCAGUCAAAAGUUUUUUUUAUUUAUUACAAAUAUAUAUUUAAAUGUUAAACAAUAUACAAAUAAACAUACUUUAGUAACCAUAUUGUGCUCUUGUUUCAAAAAUUGUUCAAUUCAUUUCUUACAGCUAUCUAUUCAGAUAAAUGGCAUAUCAAAGCUUUGUCAGCUGGUGCUAUCUAAGACGACACUAUAAGGUUAUCAUCCUGUCGUGUGUUGUUCUCCAGAUACGCUUGGAG